rnacentral:misc_RNA from 1 species
AAGUCGUAACAAGGUUUCCGUAGGUGAACCUGCGGAAGGAUCAUUAGUAUAGAUAGUGACUUUGGUGUCAUCCUUGUGAUAUGUGUAUAUUGUGUGUGUGUGUGUGUUCGUGUUGUGCACAUGCAUAUGUUUCUUACUCUGUUUUUUCAUUCUUAUCCCAUACCAUGCCAUACCAUGUAUGUAUAAACCGAAAACUGCCAGCAAUGGAUCACUCGGUUCUC